AAAGAAGGUUUCUAGGGUUCCGAUGCUAAGACAUGGCUGGUCCGAGAGAAACGAGCUACUAAAAAGAUUUUUAGAAAAGACAACGAUAAAAGUAGCUACACGGAGGGAGAAAAGCCCGGGAGGA
rnacentral:sRNA from 2 species